rnacentral:lncRNA from 1 species
AUGUGUGCUGUGUGGCUCUGGGCAAGCCACCUCCCCUCUCUGAGCCUCAACUUCUCCUCACAGCUCAGGCCCCUGCUCAGGCGGCAUGACCUGAGUGGGCUCAGGAUCCUACCUUGCUCCUCAACAGGCUACGAGGCCCGGACAAGGAUAGGGACAGGACCCCUAUCCUUCCCUCGGGCAGGUGAGAGAACCUCAGGACCGCCCCCUGUGACCGGCUCUCUCCCUCUUCAGUGCCACGGGCAUGCAGGCAGUGGAGGCCAGGUGAGGGUGGAUUCUUCUUACUCCAGCAUUUUUAACAGGCAGGAGCAACCUUGGCACGGACCGCACCCUGGCCUUUACCCAGAGGCCACAGUCAGACAACCUGCCCACAACAAACUCAUGUCCACACAUCAGCAAGACAGAAGGGCGCGUUGGGUGUCACUCUCCAUGUGCGAGCGUUUGUAUGCAUGCGCUGCUUGUGUAUUUCUUCGUAUUUGUGUACAUGAGUGUCUGUGUACCUAUCUGUGUCUGUGCUUGUUUGCGUACCUGUGUAUGUGUGGCCAUGUGUGUUUCUAUGUGUGUGUGUGUCUGGAUAUACCUGUAUGUCCAUUUGUAUGUGUCUAUGUCUUCUGGUGUGUCUAUGCGUGUGUGGUUGUAUGUGUGUGUACCAGUGUGUCUAUGUAUUUUUGUGUCUGUGUGCAUUUGUAUGUCUAUUUGUGUAUUUCUGUAUGCGUGUCUAUUUGUGUGUGUAUAUCUGUGUCUUUGUAUAUGUGUCUGUGUAUGUGUGUGUGUCUACGUGUCUAUGCUGGUGUAUGUAUGUAUGUGUAUGUGUAUUUGUGUAUUUAUGUCUGCGUGUCUGUAUAUGUCUAUUUGUGUAUGUCUAUGUGUGUAUUUAUGUGUCUGUAUGUUUAUUUGCGUAUUUGUGUAUUUGUGUCUAUUUGUGUCUGUGUAUUUGUGUCUAUUUGUGUGUCUAUUUGUGUAUAUGUGUGUGUGUCUAUUUGUAUGUGUCUGUGCGUUUGUGUGUGUAUGUCUCUGUGUGUCUAUUUGUGUGUGUGUGGACUCGUGGUCUAA